rnacentral:rRNA from 2 species
GGUUAAUUCGAUGCUACACGAAGAACUUACCUGGGCUUGACAUGUAUGAGAAAGCUGGAAGAAACUCUGGCCCUCUUGUGGAGCAAUCCACGAGACCCAUACACAGGUGCUGCAUGGUUGUCGUCAGCUCGUGUCGUGAGAUGUUCGGCUAAGUCCGCUAACGAGCGCAACCCUCGCUGUGUGUUAUAUGCGUCACACGGGACUGCCGGUUUUAAGCCGGAGGAAGGUGAGGAUGACGUCAAGUCAGCAUGGCCUUUAUGUCCUGGGCUACACACACGCUACAAUGGUCAGCACAAUGGGUCGCUAAGCCGCAAGGUGGAGCCAAUCCUCAAAGUUGGCCUCAGUUCAGAUUGUAGGCUGCAACUCGCCUGCAUGAAGAUGGAGUUGCUAGUAAACGCAGGUCAGCUAUACUGCGUUGAAUACGUUCCCGGGGCUU